CCUACGGGAGGCAGCAGUGGGGAAUAUUGGACAAUGGGGGAAACCCUGAUCCAGCAAUGCCGCGUGAGUGAUGAAGGCCUUCGGGUUGUAAAGCUCUCUCGACGGGGACGAUGAUGACGGUACCCGUAGAAGAAGCCCCGGCUAACUUCGUGCCAGCAGCCGCGGUAAGACGAAGGGGGCUAGCGUUGUUCGGAAUUACUGGGCGUAAAGCGCGCGUAGGCGGUCUUUCAAGUCAGAAGUGAAAGCCCCGGGCUCAACCCGGGAAUAGCUCUUGAUACUGUUGGACUUGAGUCCGGGAGAGGAUAGUGGAAUUCCCAGUGUAGAGGUGAAAUUCGUAGAUAUUGGGAAGAACACCAGUGGCGAAGGCGGCUAUCUGGACCGGUACUGACGCUGAGGCGCGAAAGCGUGGGGAGCAAACAGGAUUAGAUACCCUGGUAGUCCACGCCGUAAAACUAUGAGUGCUAGACGUUGGGGAGCUUGCUCUUCAGUGUCGUAGCUAACGCGAUAAGCACUCCGCCUGGGAGACGCCCACUG
rnacentral:rRNA from 1 species